UGGGGAAUCUUGCGCAAUGGGGGAAACCCUGACGCAGCGACGCCGCGUGCGGGAUGAAGGCCUUCGGGUUGUAAACCGCUUUCAGCAGGGACGAGGCCUUAUGGUGACGGUACCUGCAGAAGAAGCUCCGGCUAAAUACGUGCCAGCAGCCGCGGUAAUACGUAUGUUGCGAGCGUUAUCCGGAAUUAUUGGGCUUAAAGGGCAUCUAGGCGGUAAGACAAGUUGAAGGUGAAAACCUGUGGCUCAACCAUAGGCUUGCCUACAAAACUGUUGAACUAGAGUACUGGAAAGGUGGGUGGAACUACACGAGUAGAGGUGAAAUUCGUAGAUAUGUGUAGGAAUGCCGAUGAUGAAGAUAACUCACUGGACAGAAACUGACGCUGAGGUGCGAAAGCGUGGGGAGCAAACAGG
rnacentral:rRNA from 1 species